CUUAGUAGCGGCGAGUGAAGCGGCAAAAGCUCAAAUUUGAAAUCUGGCUCUUUCAGAGUCCGAGUUGUAAUUUGAAGAAGGUAUCUUUGGGUCUGGCUCUUGUCUAUGUUUCUUGGAACAGAACGUCACAGAGGGUGAGAAUCCCGUGCGAUGAGAUGAUCCAGGCCUAUGUAAAGUUCCUUCGAAGAGUCGAGUUGUUUGGGAAUGCAGCUCUAAGUGGGUGGUAAAUUCCAUCUAAAGCUAAAUAUUGGCGAGAGACCGAUAGCGAACAAGUACAGUGAUGGAAAGAUGAAAAGAACUUUGAAAAGAGAGUGAAAAAGUACGUGAAAUUGUUGAAAGGGAAGGGCUUGAGAUCAGACUUGGUAUUUUGUAUGUUACUUCUUCGGGGGUGGCCUCUACAGUUUAUCGGGCCAGCAUCAGUUUGGGCGGUAGGAGAAUUGCGUUGGAAUGUGGCACGGCUUCGGUUGUGUGUUAUAGCCUUCGUCGAUACUGCCAGCCUAGACUGAGGACUGCGGUUUAUACCUAGGAUGUUGGCAUAAUGAUCUUAAGUCGCCCGUCUUGAAACACGGGA
rnacentral:rRNA from 1 species